rnacentral:lncRNA from 1 species
GAAUGGCACUGAGGGAAAGCCCCAAUCACAUUUGCUUCUGUAUGGGCUAUGCAACACUCCCAAAUCCGCAUCCAUUCCCUCCUGGAUGCUCCCCUUCUUUGUUGGUCAGAAAUGUUAGCAAUUCAGGUUGCAGGACUGAGAAAGGCAUGAGAUAAUUAGUAAAAUCUGCCCAGGUUCCCUAAGGUGCAUAGGUAAAUUUCACUAGUCUGUUUUACUGCCCCAAUGUUUAAAAUGUGUUGUGUUCCUUAAGCUGCUAGAGAGGCAUUUUUAGAAUCAACUCCUCCAGUAAUCUGCUACCUUAUAACCAGUAGAUAUCCCUUAACCCUUAGGCGGUUCCUUUAGUCUACAGAGCAAAGGCAACAAAAGAGUGCACGUUUCUCUUUUGCAAUGGGUUUUUAGUGGCCGGGAGGAUAAGCAGUGAUGCCCUUAAGUCUGAAUCCUCCCAGGGUCUCUGGCACAGGGCAAACUGAGACCCUAGCACUUUGCUAAAGGGGACCAGAAACCCCUUGGCAAAGCAAGGUGAGAGACGGGUUUUCUGGACCCUUUAGGAAGCUCAAGCUUAGGGAGACGUCCCUAAUGAGAACAGUUUUCUCUGGCGCGGUGUGGGCGCCUGAAUCCUGUUUUCUUCUCACUCAGACGGGAGCUUCUCUCUCUCCAAUACGCCAGGUGCACCACUAGCCUGCGUAUUGAAAAACUGGGAUAGAUUUGACUCUCAGUACUCAAGAAAAAGCGCCUCAUUUUCUUGGCCUGGCCUCAAUACAAACUCUCUGAUGGAGAAACCUGGCCACCAGAGGGAAAUAUCAAUUUUAAUACAAUUUUACAGCUUGAUAAAAUUUACAAAAAAGGGAAAUGGGGUGAGGUGCUGUAUGUUCAGGUUUUCUUUGCUCUAAGGGAAAAUCCUAAAUUAUGCCAACAGUGUAAAGUAGACUUAGCUAUGAUAUCUGCCAUGAAGAGAGAAAAUCUUGGGGACUCACUGAGGAAAAAGAAUCAGGAGGACCCACAAAAUCUCCAUCGGCUGGCCUCUCUGCCUCUGCCCCAACAGGCAAACCAAAUAUAUUACCUCUCCAGGAGAUGCCAGGAGAAUUUGGGCCGAUCAAAGUACAUACCCCCUUCCCCCUUCAAGACCUAAGGCAGAUAAAAACUGACUAUUGGAAAGUUAGGAGAUAUGCCAGAUUGCCUGGAAUUGGAUCUAACCAAAGGAGCUAAUCCUAUAAGUAAAAGGAGAGACUGAGGGACUCCCAGCAGCUGCCAAAGCCAUUUUGCUUUGGGGAACCUCCUCAUUUCUUCCCUGCACUGUAAGGAUUGCUCCAUCUCUGUCUACUUAAAAAGAAGGGGACACUGAAUGCAGUAAAGUCGCCACACCAAGACCCUUGAUUUUACACCUAUAGUUGCCCCUCUGUGAAAACAUCUGGUCCACUGGUGGGGAAAUCUAUGGUGCCACUGAUGUAGGAGUCAUAAUUAAAUGGAAAUUAGAAACCUGGGGAGAUUUUCUCUUAUCUGGUCUGUCUGUUUUAAAGUUAUUAUAAAUUGUUUCUUGGGGAUAAUUUAGGCUAAAUGUGUGUCUAAAAGAUGAUGUUUCAUUGUAACAUCUGGUAUCUAAAUGAGUUUGAAGCAUUGCACAAUCUUGCAGUUAAAAGUUGGGGUUAGGUAAUUGUUUAGUUUGUGAUUUCAGAUAGUUCAUGCUAAAUACUUAGGAUGGAAAAUUAAAGAACUCUACUUCCAAGUUGGCAAGUAACUCCCAAUCAUUUAGUUUUAUUUUUUUCAUCAAUUUUUGAACUGGGUAGCCUGAGAAGGUUUCACUAGGUGUACCAGUGCAUUAACUUGGGCAAGGAUAGUAAAUUAUGAUAUGGUAUCUGUUCCUCUCAGUGUGUAAGAUUUAGGAAAGAAAAGUGUUGAAUUGGAACGCUGGUCUGGCUUAUUAAAAUGACAUUAAAUAGCAACAGUCUUGGAAAUUUUUAAAGCUUAAUUUUGGAUAUACAUGGUAGUGUGUGGUUCUCUUUUGGAAUUUUUUUCAGGUGAUUUAAGGUAACUUAAUACUACUUUAGGAACUUCAGAAUAAAGGAUGUGGCUUAAUGAUCCUGAAGGAAUUUCUUCUGAUGGUAGCUUUUAUAUUAUCAAGUGAGAUCCUAUUUUCAGUUUUGUGUGAGCAAGUUUUUCUAGUGUAGAAAGAUGUAGAGGUAUGAAAUUUUGUGAAUUGUAUCUUAAACUUGUAUCAUAAUUUUCAACAUCCAAACCUGAAAAUUGUGACUUAUGGUUAAAAUGCCUUAGGCAUGAGGUUUCUGCUCAGAAUUCCAGUUUUCCCAGUUCCUUCCAGACCUCAGCCAGGACUUAAGUUGAUAUGCAAAUAGAAGAAGCCUGGGGCUCAGUAGGAGACUGAGGGGAAAAAAAGUAAAGGUGUCUUUUACCUGAACUCAAACUACAUUAAACCAAAGAGUAAAUUGUAUGGCAUUUACUAAUUACUGGCCGGUCAAUUUUUUUCUAGGACUUUUUCUUUUUCUUAAUUCUGUAUUUUUUUUUGAGCUCAUGAUUUUGAUCCUACCGAC